GGCAGCAGCUGCUGACCAGCGACCACCCUUUUUUUACUCCCCGAGGACGCAGCAGCGCCGCAGUGGGGAUCGUAGUAGUAGUAGAAGUACUAUUGAUUUCCACUGGCACGCACGGCCGUCCCCGUCCUCUCCCCCGCCCUGCAUCUUUUCCGGCCGCUGCUGGUUCGUGCCGGCUGGCUCCCAGCGACAGCCUCCGCCACUCCCCUCGUCUCCCUUCAUCCCCUAGCUGGCUACCCCAGGUAGCUGCCUGUAGCCUCAGCCCCGCCAUAACCCCCACAUUCAUGACCAUUACCACGAUGUGUCACCCCACCACACCGCCCCCUCCGCCAUAACCCUGCUGCGUGCUUGCGCUUUGGUGCUUUGCUUUGCCUCCCCCCUGCGACCCCCCGCACCCCACCCUCCUCAUUAAUCACUUGCUGGCUCCGUCGGCUCGGCGCGCUGCCCUGCCUCCCUUCUCGUGCUCCGCGCUCGCGCCCGCAGCAGCAGCCAUGACGGGGAUCGACCUCAACGACACCGUGGAGGAGGACGAGGCGGAGGCGGAGGCAGGGAACUCGUGCUCCCAGCAGAGCCGCUCCAGCUCCGCGGCUACGGGGACGCCGCCGCCGCCGGGGCCGGGCGCCGCGGUGUGCCUCGAGCUGUGGCACGCGUGCGCCGGCCCCGUCGCGCCGCUGCCGCGGAAGGGGAGCGUCGUGGUGUACCUCCCGCAGGGCCACCUCGAGCACCUCGGCGACGCCGCGGCGGCGGCAGGUGGCGGUACCGUGCCGCCCCACGUCUUCUGCCGCGUGGUCGACCUCACCCUCCAUGCGGACGCGUCCACGGACGAGGUGUACGCGCAGCUCGCCCUCGUCGCCGAGAACGAGGAGGUCGCGAGGCGGCUCCGCGGAGGGUCGGAGGACGGGAGCGGCGGCGACGGCGAGGACGGGGACACCGUGAGGCAGCGGUUCUCGCGGAUGCCGCACAUGUUCUGCAAGACGCUCACGGCGUCCGACACCAGCACGCACGGCGGCUUCUCCGUGCCGCGCCGCGCCGCCGAAGACUGCUUCCCGCCUCUGGAUUACAGCCAGCAGCGACCGUCGCAGGAACUUGUCGCCAAGGAUUUGCACGGAACCGAGUGGAGGUUCCGCCACAUCUAUCGAGGCCAGCCCCGCAGGCACCUUUUAACCACUGGAUGGAGUGCAUUUGUCAACAAGAAGAAGCUUGUCUCAGGGGACGCCGUACUAUUUCUGCGGGGAGAUGAUGGCGAGCUAAGACUUGGAGUGCGCCGUGCAGCUCAGCUUAAAAAUGGAUCUGCUUUUCCAGCUCUUUAUAAUCAGUGUUCAAAUCUUGGUUCACUAGCAAACAUAGCACAUGCUGUUGCCACCAAAAGUGUGUUCCACAUCUACUAUAACCCCAGAUUAAGUCAGUCUGAAUUCAUUAUACCAUAUUCGAAGUUCAUGAAGAGCUUCAGUCAACCAUUUUCUGCUGGGUUGAGGUUCAAAAUGAGAUAUGAGAGUGAUGAUGCUACGGAAAGAAGAUACACGGGGAUCAUAGCAGGAAUUGGUGAUGCUGACCCAAUGUGGCGUGGUUCCAAGUGGAAAUGUUUGAUGGUCAGAUGGGAUGAUGAUGUAGAUUUCCGUCGACCAAACAGGAUUUCUCCUUGGGAGAUCGAGCUGACUAGUUCAGUUUCAGGAUCCCAUCUGUCUGCACCAAAUGCGAAGAGACUGAAACCAUGUCUUCCCCAUGUCAAUCCAGACUACCUAGUUCCAAAUGGAAGUGGUCGUCCUGAUUUUGCGGAAUCUGCCCAAUUCCACAAGGUCUUGCAAGGUCAAGAAUUAUUGGGUUAUAGAACUCGUGACAAUGAUGCUAUUGCUACUUCUCAGCCAUGUGAAGCAAGGAAUAUGCACUACAUUGAUGAGCGUAGUUGCUCCAAUGAUGCGAGUAACAAUAUCCCAGGGGUUCCGAGACAUGGUGCCAGAACACCACUAGGAAACCCUGGGUUUCCCUACCAUUGCUCAGGCUUUGGGGAAUCUCAAAGAUUCCAAAAGGUCUUGCAAGGUCAAGAAGUAUUUCGUCCGUACCGAGGAACUCUAGCUGAUGCGUGUCUGAGAAAUAAUGCCUUUCAUCAGCAAGAUGGUUCUCAUGCGCCUAGUGUGGCGAAUAAAUGGCACACACAACUUCAUGGAUGUGCUUUUCGUGGGUCACCUGCACCAAUGAAUCCAUCUCAAUCCUCAUCCCCACCAUCCGUCCUAAUCUUUCAACAAGGUAAUUCGAAGUUGUCCCAAUUUGAAUUUGGGCAUGGCCCCUUGGAUAAGAAUGUAGAUGGUAGACCUGCUAUGCUGGGCCAUGCUGGAGGUAUUGGAGGAACUGAGCAAACUUUGAUGCUCCAGCCUCAUCAUGUUUCUGAAGAAGUGGGAAAUAGGCAUGCAAUAGUUGAGAAAUUUCACUCUGUUGGGAAGGAUGGAACAGAUAACAGGGAUGUUAACACAAACAGUUGCAAAAUAUUUGGCAUAUCUUUGGCAGAGAAGGUUCCGUCGAGCAAACAAAAGGAAUGUGGUGAUGCCAAUUAUCCAUCCCCGUUCCUAUCUUUGAAGCAACAAGUGCCAAAAUCGUUGGGCAACAGUUGUGCCACUGUUCAUGAGCAAAGGCCUGUUGUUGGCAGGGUGAUUGAUCUUUCAACCAUGGAUAUGAUGAUCUGAUCUGUUAGUCAAAUUAUCUUGGAGGUGAAGAAAUGCUAGUGCUGCUUUCGUCUUCAUGUUAGUGGGACUUUUCUGUUGUGUACUGUGGAUAGUCUCAGGUUGAUGAUUGGGCCUGGGGGAAAAUGUAUGGAUCGAGGAUGCUGAUCAAACUUGUAUCCUAGCUGUAGUGUUAGAGCACUUUAUAUGACCUUCUUUAGUGCUCCAUGUUAUCAGCACUUGUUGCUGCUCAGAACUUGCCUGUAUUCUUCUAAGCUGUAUGCUAUAACAAACCCAUUUAUAGAGGGUUUGUUUGCUUUAGCAUCGAUGUAGACUAUCAUGAGAACAUAAUUUGCUUGGGGCUGCUUAGCGCCUCCACCCCGUUCAAGCUAUCUUGUCGAUCAGAGUUCACUAUAUACAGGAUUAAUGGUGGCGGCA